UACGUAGGGUGCGAGCGUUUGUCCGGAAUUAUUGGGCGUAAAGAGCUUGUAGGCGGUCUGUGGCGUCUGCUGUGAAAAUCCGGGGCUCAACCCCGGACUUGCAGUGGGUACGGGCAGACUAGAGUGUGGUAGGGGAGACUGGAAUUCCUGGUGUAGCGGUGAAAUGCGCAGAUAUCAGGAGGAACACCGAUGGCGAAGGCAGGUCUCUGGGCCAC
rnacentral:rRNA from 1 species